rnacentral:rRNA from 1 species
GACGAACGCUGGCGGCGUGCUUAACACAUGCAAGUCGAACGGUGACCCAGGGCUUGCCCUGGUGAUCAGUGGCGAACGGGUGAGUAACACGUGGGCAACCUGCCCCUGACUUCGGGAUAACUCCUCGAAAGAGGAGCUAAUACCGGAUACGACCACUUCGGACAUCCGAUGGUGGUGGAAAGUUUUUCGGUCAGGGAUGGGCCCGCGGCCUAUCAGCUAGUUGGUGGGGUAAUGGCCUACCAAGGCGACGACGGGUAGCCGGCCUGAGAGGGCGACCGGCCACACUGGGACUGAGACGCGGCCCAGACUCCUACGGGAGGCAGCAGUGGGGAAUAUUGCGCAAUGGGCGAAAGCCUGACGCAGCGACGCCGCGUGAGGGAUGAAGGCCUUCGGGUUGUAAACCUCUUUCAGCAGGGACGAAGCGAAAGUGACGGUACCUGCAGAAGAAGCACCGGCUAACUACGUGCCAGCAGCCGCGGUAA